rnacentral:lncRNA from 1 species
GUUUACACCGAUUUUUGGUAAUGUAAACAACCGCUAUCCAUAAAAACUUUGGGACCGGAUAGAAGUCCUUUUAUAGUAUUCGUUCAAGUCUCGGGAUUUACGAUGUAAUUCAUGCGUCUUUAAGAACAAAAUCAUUGUUCCUUUUAGUGUUAGAAUCGCAUCCAACACUUUUAAUAACAAGUUGUCUCAUGACAACAUGAUAGAAAAAAUACUCAAGUGAGCAUUGAAAAGAAAGAAAAAUAAAGAAGAUGAAAAUUGCAAAAGAAAAAGAAAAUAAGGCAAGAACAAAGCAAUAUAUUAAAUUGCAUUAAAUGUAAAGGGUGGUUGGAAUCCAUUCCUAUGCACUCUUUGAACCCGUUUGCUCCGUGGCGUGGGCAUUGGAGAGUUUUUAGAAAAUAGGAUUCAACCCUUUGUUCUUAUUACAAACAGAUAUAUAUAGACCUUGCAGGAAAAACUACCACUAGAUCCUACGGUCUAAGUUAAAACAAGAUAUAACUCCCUAUGCCAAAACCAUACACUUGGCAAAUUACAAUAUAUAGAAAAAUAACUUCCAAUGCUUGACGACGUGUUGCUUCAAUGCUUGACGUGUUGCUUCACGUUAAUGCUCCAAUAUUGCUUGUCCUGGUGUUGAUAAUUGCUAUUAUAUAUUAGCCUUUUUUAAUCCAAGGCCAAUCAAUAUAAUUCGACCAACAUACAUCAAAGUUGAGACCAAAUUGCAUCUUCGACUAAAAUAUAGUUGGCAUCUUCGACCAGUUUCUUCAUUUCCAAUUAAAUUGGUAGAAUCUACUCCAAUUAAAAUUCACAUAAACCAUCGAAAUGGAUAAACCAUCGAAAUGGUUUUUUUUUUCUUUUCAAAUUCUAACACUAAGACUUUCUCAAUACCAUUAAUUUUAUAAUUUUGGUGUCAACA